GUUAUUCUCUAAACAACACAGUAUAACAAUAUAUACAUAGCAUUUACCUUGAAUUAGGUAUUAUAAGGGAAAACAUGCAUAAGCUAUAUGUAAAUACUGCACCAAUUUAUAUGAAGGACUUGAGCAGCUACAGAGUUUGGCAUCCUGGGGGAGACCUUGAACCAGCCCUCUAAGAAUACGGAGAGACAAUUAUGGGGGAACCCCACAGUGUGUGUCCUUUGGUCUGGUUUGUUUCACUCCAUAAUGCUCUGGAGGCUCUUCUAGGCUGUAGCCUGUAUUAGAACUCCAUCAAACACUGACUUUCAUCAGCUACACACGCUUCUUUCUCGGUAUUUCUGCUCUAACUCUUCUAGUGUAGGUGCUUGUCACUCACUAUGUAAUCUCUGACCAGUAGCAUCAAUGUCACCUGGGAGACACUCCAUGUGGAUAAUCAGGAUCUGCAUUUGAGCAAGAUCCUAAGUGACUGCUGUGCAUGUUACAGGUUGAGAAAUGCUGCUGAGAUAAGCUCUUUACCUCUGUCUGAAUCCUGAACCCUGAGCCUCCUACAAACUGCCACCUGGGAUUACCCCCUAAAGUGCCAAUCUCCAUAUGCUGCCCCAUUUCUUAAGCAACUUAGGAGGCUUCCUAUUAACUGUUUGAGUACUGAGUCCCCAUUACUCAAGUGUGAUAGUAAAACUUUCUAAAAUCACCUCUGCUCUACUUACUGAAGCUUCUUACCAUCAACACUCCAAAAGACUCAGUUGCUGACAUGCCAGACCCAUCACAGUACUUUGACUGCACUGUGAUCAGUCUCUAAUUCAUGUAUCUUACUGAGCCUUUCUUCCCUCUGCUCUGAUGAAGUCUACCAAGUCUUCGAGGACCAGUUCAAGUGCCAUCCCCACCUCCCCGACCCCACAAAGGACCUUCCCC
rnacentral:lncRNA from 1 species